rnacentral:rRNA from 1 species
AGGAUUCGUCCAAUUGAAGCAGAGGACAGUGGCGGACGGGUGAGUAACGCGUGAGGAACCUGCCUUUCAGAGGGGGACAACAGUUGGAAACGACUGCUAAUACCGCAUGAUACGUUUUAGGGGCAUCCCUGAGACGUCAAAGAUUUAUCGCUGAAAGAUGGCCUCGCGUCUGAUUAGCUAGUUGGUGAGGUAACGGCCCACCAAGGCGACGAUCAGUAGCCGGACUGAGAGGUUGACCGGCCACAUUGGGACUGAGAUACGGCCCAGACUCC